rnacentral:rRNA from 1 species
GAUGAACGCUGGCGGCGUGCCUAAUACAUGCAAGUAGAACGCUGAAGGAGGAGCUUGCUCUUCUGGAUGAGUUGCGAACGGGUGAGUAACGCGUAGGUAACCUGCCUGGUAGCGGGGGAUAACUAUUGGAAACGAUAGCUAAUACCGCAUGACAACAGUUAUUGCAUGAUAACUGUUUAAAAGGGGCAACUGCUCCACUACCAGAUGGACCUGCGUUGUAUUAGCUAGUUGGUGAGGUAACGGCUCACCAAGGCGACGAUACAUAGCCGACCUGAGAGGGUGAUCGGCCACACUGGGACUGAGACACGGCCCAGACUCCUACGGGAGGCAGCAGUAGGGAAUCUUCGGCAAUGGACGGAAGUCUGACCGAGCAACGCCGCGGGAGUGAAGAAGGUUUUCGGAUCGUAAAGCUCUGUUGUAAGAGAAGAACGAGUGUGAGAGUGGAAAGCUCACACUGUGACGGUAGCUUACCAGAAAGGGACGGCUAACUACGUG